UACGUAGGGUGCGAGCGUUAAUCGGAAUUACUGGGCGUAAAGUGUGCGCAGGCGGCCGAGCAAGUCGAGUGUGAAAGCCCCGAGCUUAACUUGGGAAUUGCGCUCGAAACUACUUGGCUGGAGUGUGGCAGAGGAAGGUGGAAUUCCAGGUGUAGCGGUGAAAUGCGUAGAGAUCUGGAGGAAUACCGGUGGCGAAGGCGGCCCCCUGGACAAAGACUGACGCUCAGGUGCGAAAGCGUGGGGAGCAAACAGG
rnacentral:rRNA from 1 species